rnacentral:sRNA from 1 species
UCUGAUUGGCUGUUAAUAAGCUGCGAAACUUACGAGUAACAACACAAUCAGUAUGAUGACGAGCUUCAUCAUA